GCAUGUAUAUAUUUUUCUGCAUGCUUUCUUUGGAGGAAUGUAAAAAAAAAAAAAAGUUGCAAAAGCUGCAGAUUUUCUGUCUGCAGCCAUUGCAAGCUCUUUCAUUUUUCCCCAGCACAAAUAUGAUAGAUUUCAACACAUAUAGAACUUCUGCAAGCUGUGUGCUUUUUUGUGUGUGGAGUGCUCUUUUAAGUAAUGCUUAUGCAUUCUGCUUGUUUUAUGUAUGGGUACGGCGGAUGCUUUGUGAGGUGGCAUUUGUGUGUGGACUGUCUGAUGUUGUGCAAGUAUAUAUAUGGACUGUGUGCAGUGUUGUGUAUGCUUUCUUGUUUGUGGUAUUCUGUGUUUGAAGGGAUUGGCUUAUGUGGUUUUCUUUGUAAAUGUGGACUGUUUGUGGUAUUUUGGGUAUGUGCGUGUGUGGCAGGAACUGUGGGGUUGUAAGUGUAGGUUGUUUGUAGUAGUGUGUGUAUGUUAUAUUAGCUGCCAGUUGUAUUAUGUGUUUUCCUUCUGGGGUUUUGUGUGUGUGUGUUGUCUGUGAUGUUUAAAUGUGUAAAAAUGGGUUGCUUUUAGUAAUUGUGUGUGUGUGUGUGUGUGUUUUGGCUGCAAUCUGUGGUAUGUGUAUAUUUAGGCUAUAUGUAAUGUUGUGUGUAGUGGCUGCAAUCUGUGGUGUGUGUGUAUAUUUGGGCUGUAUGUAGUGUUGUGUGUAGUGGAUGCAAUCUGUGGUGUGUGUGUAUAUUUGGGCUGUAUGUAGUGUUGUGUGUAGUGGAUGCAAUCUGUGGUGUGUGUGUAUAUUUGGGCUGUAUGUAGUGUUGUGUGUAGUGGCUGCAAUCUGUGGUGUGUGUGUAUAUUUGGGCUGUAUGUAGUGUUGUGUGUAGUGGCUGCAGUCGGUGGUGUGUGUAUAUUUAGGCUGUAUGUAAUGUGUGUGGGGGCUGUGUUUUGUAUUUGUGUAUGUAUGGGCUUUCUGUAGUGUUUGUAUAUUGUGUACUGGUGUUUGGAGGUACAGACCACUAAUUCCCUAUGAAUCAGCUGGCCGGUUUGGGUCAGGCAGGAUCCUAUGCCAUACACACACACACCGGUGUGGCAUGGAUCGCAGUCUACUGAUAUAGAUCAUACCCCUGUAGUCUCACUGCUCAAUUCUCUGCCAUUUAGAAGAUAAAUCACUUUGUUUAUACAGCCCUAGGUACACUUGUUGCAUGUGACUUGUACAGCCUUUCUAAACACUUCCUGUAAAGAGAGCUAAUGUUUACAAUUAGAAUUUAUCUUCUGCACGGUUAAUAGCCUUCUAGAUGAUGCAGGGACCUCCUGUGUGUGUAAUUAAAGUUCAAUUUACAGAGCAGUAGAUAAAAACAUAUAACGUAAGUUAACAUCUGAUUAAAAAUGAAACUUUUUCAUGCAGGCUGUGUCAAUCACAACCAGGAGAGGUGUGGCUAGGGCAGAAUAAACAGAAACAAAA